rnacentral:rRNA from 1 species
AUUCCAGCUCCAAUAGCGUAUAUUAAAGUUGUUGCAGCUAAAAAGCUCGUAGUUGGAUUUCUGGGAGGGUGCCAAUGUCCGUCGUCGUACGUGUUGCAGCGGCGCCCUUCCAUCCUUCUGUUAACGACUUUGGGCAUUCACUUGCCGGAGUCGGGCUCAGAUAUUUUACCUUGAAAAAAUUAGAGUGUUCAAAGCAGGCUAUCGCUUGAAUACAUGAGCAUGGAAUAAUGGAAUAGGACUUUGGUCUUAUUUUAUUGGUUUCUGAGACCGAAGUAAUGAUUAAGAGGGACAAUUGGGGGCAUCCGUAUUUCGUUGUCAGAGGUGAAAUUCUUGGAUUUACGAAAGACGAACAACUGCGAAAGCACUUGCCAAGAGUGUUUUCAUUA